GAUGAACGCUGGCGGCGUGCCUAAUACAUGCAGGUCGAGCGAACAGAUGAGGGGCUUGCUCCUCUGACGUUAGCGGCGGACGGGUGAGUAACACGUGGAUAACCUACCUAUAAGACUGGGAUAACUUCGGGAAACCGGAGCUAAUACCGGAUAAUAUAUUGAACCGCAUGGUUCAAUAGUGAAAGACGGUUUUGCUGUCACUUAUAGAUGGAUCCGCGCCGCAUUAGCUAGUUGGUAAGGUAACGGCUUACCAAGGCAACGAUGCGUAGCCGACCUGAGAGGGUGAUCGGCCACACUGGAACUGAGACACGGUCCAGACUCCUACGGGAGGCAGCAGUAGGGAAUCUUCCGCAAUGGGCGAAAGCCUGACGGAGCAACGCCGCGUGAGUGAUGAAGGUCUUCGGAUCGUAAAACUCUGUUAUUAGGGAAGAACAAAUGUGUAAGUAACUAUGCACGUCUUGACGGUACCUAAUCAGAAAGCCACGGCUAACUACGUG
rnacentral:rRNA from 1 species